rnacentral:rRNA from 1 species
UGAGAGGUGGUGCAUGGCCGUCGCCAGCUCGUGCCGUGAGAUGUCCUGUUAAGUCAGGUAACGAGCGAGAUCCCUGCCUCUAGUUGCCACCAUUACUCUCAGGAGUAGUGGGGCGAAUUAGCGGGACCGCCGCAGUUAAUGCGGAGGAAGGAAGGGGCCACGGCAGGUCAGUAUGCCCCGAAACUCUGGGGCCACACGCGGGCUGCAAUGGUAGCGACAAUUGGUUUCGAAUCCGAAAGGAUGAGGUAAUCCACAAACGCUACCACAGUUAUGACUGAGGGCUGCAACUCGCCCUCACGAAUAUGGAAUCCCUAGUAACUGCGUGUCAUUAUCGCGCGGUGAAUACGUCCCUGCUCCUUGCACACACCGCCCGUCGUUUCAUUGAAGUGAGCUUUUAGCGAGGUGACGUCUGAUUGGCGUUAUCGAACUUGAGGUUCGUGACAAGGGAAAAGUCGUAACAAGGU